rnacentral:rRNA from 1 species
UACGUAGGGUGCAAGCGUUAUCCGGAAUUAUUGGGCGUAAAGAGCUCGUAGGCGGUUUGUCGCGUCUGCUGUGAAAACUGGAGGCUCAACCUCCAGCCUGCAGUGGGUACGGGCAAACUAGAGUGCGGUAGGGGAGAUUGGAAUUCCUGGUGUAGCGGUGGAAUGCGCAGAUAUCAGGAGGAACACCGAUGGCGAAGGCAGAUCUCUGGGCCGUAACUGACGCUGAGGAGCGAAAGCAUGGGGAGCGAACCGG